rnacentral:rRNA from 1 species
UACAGAGGGUGCGAGCGUUGUCCGGAAUCACUGGGCGUAAAGGGCGCGUAGGCGGCUCAGUAAGGUUGCGGUGAAAGCCCGGGGCUCAACCCCGGGUCGGCCGUGGCAACUGCUGGGCUGGAGCACUGUAGAGGCAGGUGGAAUUCCGGGUGUAGCGGUGGAAUGCGUAGAGAUCCGGAAGAACACCGGUGGCGAAGGCGGCCUGCUGGGCAGUUGCUGACACUGAGGCGCGACAGCGUGGGGAGCAAACAGG